rnacentral:rRNA from 1 species
UGGGGAAUAUUGCACAAUGGGCGCAAGCCUGAUGCAGCCAUGCCGCGUGUAUGAAGAAGGCAUUCGGGUUGUAAAGUACUUUCAGCGGGGAGGAAGGGAGUAAAGUUAAUACCUUUGCUCAUUGACGUUACCCGCAGAAGAAGCACCGGCUAACUCCGUGCCAGCAGCCGCGGUAAUACGGAGGGUGCAAGCGUUAAUCGGAAUUACUGGGCGUAAAGCGCACGCAGGCGGUUUGUUAAGUCAGAUGUGAAAUCCCCGGGCUCAACCUGGGAACUGCAUCUGAUACUGGCAAGCUUGAGUCUCGUAGAGGGGGGUAGAAUUCCAGGUGUAGCGGUGAAAUGCGUAGAGAUCUGGAGGAAUACCGGUGGCGAAGGCGGCCCCCUGGACGAAGACUGACGCUCAGGUGCGAAAGCGUAGGGAGCAAACAGG